rnacentral:rRNA from 1 species
UACAGAGGUCCCGAGCGUUGUUCGGAUUCACUGGGCGUAAAGGGUGCGUAGGUGGUGAGGUAAGUCGGAUGUGAAAGCUCGGAGCUCAACUCCGAAAUGGCAUUGGAAACUACCUUGCUCGAGGGUUGGAGGGGGGACUGGAAUUCUCGGUGUAGCAGUGAAAUGCGUAGAUAUCGAGAGGAACACCAGUGGCGAAGGCGGUUCUCUGGGCCUUACCUGACGCUGAGGAGCGAAAGCGUGGGGAGCGAACAGG